rnacentral:rRNA from 1 species
UACGAAGGUCCCGAGCGUUGUUCGGAAUCACUGGGCGUAAAGGGAGCGUAGGCGGCGUGGUAAGUCAGAUGUGAAAUCCCGGGGCUCAACCCCGGAACUGCAUCCGAUACUGCCGUGCUAGAGGAUUGGAGAGGAGAUUGGAAUUUACGGUGUAGCAGUGAAAUGCGUAGAUAUCGUAAGGAAGACCAGUGGCGAAGGCGAAUCUCUGGACAGUUACUGACACUGAGGCACGAAGGCCAGGGGAGCAAACAGG